rnacentral:tRNA from 1 species
GGGGAUUUAGCUCAGUGGCACAGCGCCUGCCUUGCAAGCACAAGGUCCUGAGUUCAAUCCCCA